ACUUAUUUAAUUGACCCCGAAAGGAUGAAAGGCAAAGUCGACCUCGACAGAAAUAGUAAUAGUGGGACAUGGUUAAUGUUGCAGAAAGGAAGGCUGAAAAGGGGGACUGAAAGUUUGUUAGUAGCAGCACAAGAUCAAGCAUUAAGGACUAAUUGUAUAAAAGCCAAGAGAGACAAAAACUAGGUGGAUUCACAAUGUAGGCUAUGUAAAUCAAAAGAGGA